GGUCCAGACUCCUACGGGAGGCAGCAGUGAGGAAUAUUGGUCAAUGGGCGCGAGCCUGAACCAGUCAAGUCGCGUGAGGGAAGACGGUCCUAUGGAUUGUAAACCUCUUUUGUCGGGGAGCAGAGAGAGUCACGUGUGGCUCAUUGAGAGUACCCGAAGAAAAAGCAUCGGCUAACUCCGUGCCAGCAGCCGCGGUAAUACGGAGGAUGCGAGCGUUAUCCGGAUUUAUUGGGUUUAAAGGGUGCGCAGGCGGUAGAUCAAGUCAGCGGUAAAAUUUCGGGGCUCAACCCCGUCGUGCCGUUGAAACUGGCGUUCUUGAGUGAGCGAGAAGUAUGCGGAAUGCGUGGUGUAGCGGUGAAAUGCAUAGAUAUCGCGCAGAACUCCGAUUGCGAAGGCAGCAUGCCGGCUCCACACUGACGCUGAGGCACGAAAGCGUGGGUAUCGAACAGGAUUAGAUACCCUCGUAG
rnacentral:rRNA from 1 species